UACAAUACUACUACUAUUACUGAUGGAUCAGGCUCGUCUUGAAGGAUAAUAUAGGCUCUUCACCCCACUCUUACUCAAUACGUCCCAGGCGUACAGAAUGAUAGUGUAUAAUUCUGAAUAUACAAGCUUGGGUAAACGGAGAAAACCAAACCCUUGGGAGGAUGGAAGGUAUGGCUGAAUUGUCAGGG
rnacentral:ribozyme from 1 species